rnacentral:lncRNA from 1 species
CUUGAUACUUUUGAUUCAGGUGAUCUAGAGGGCAUUUUCACUGGGAUGAGGAUGCUUGCAUGUGUAAUCUUACUUAGAGUUAAUAGAAAAGCCAAGACGAAACUGAUUUGUUUAUGGGGUUGUGCAGACCCAUCUAGACAUUUUCAGUGUCUUGCUUUGAAUAAUUAAGCUACAUUAACUGCAUAAAUAGUUGAGUAUAAAAUUUAAGUAUAAUGGGAAAGAGAUAAAUAAAUCCAAUCCGAGUUCGUCUACAGCUGAUUCAGAGGGGACCAGGCCUUCUGCAAU